rnacentral:tRNA from 1 species
GGCGCAUUAGUCAAGUGGUUAAGACACCGCCCCUUCACGGCGGAGGCGUGAGUUCAAUUCUCUCAUGCGUCA